rnacentral:rRNA from 1 species
AAAAAUUUAAAUUAAUUUACUAAAAAAUUAAUAGUUAUGUUCUUUAAAUUUAAAAAAUUUGGCGGUAUUUUAGUCUUAUUAGAGGAAUCUGUUUAUUAAUUGAUAAUCCACGAUUAAUUUUACUUAUUUUAAUUAAUUCAUAUAUCGCUGUCAUGAAUAUAUUUAAAAAAAUUUAUUUUCUUUAAUUAUUUUAAUAAUUUAUGUUAAGUCAAGAUGUGGUUUAUAAAUAAGAAUAUAAUGGAUUACAUUAAAUUUUAUUUUUGGAUUUUGAAUGAAAAUUAAAAUGAAAUUGGAUUUAAUAGUAAGUUUAAUUAUUUUAUUAAUAUGAAUAAAGAUCUA